CUUUAUGGCGGACUGUGCGCGGGACACUCCUCGGAGUGUGCCGGGUUUCUUCUUCCCCGGUUGUCCAAACCUGCGCACGGUUCGCCACCCUU
rnacentral:antisense_RNA from 1 species